rnacentral:rRNA from 1 species
UGGGGAAUAUUGCACAAUGGGCGAAAGCCUGAUGCAGCAACGCCGCGUGAGUGAUGAAGGUCUUCGGAUUGUAAAGCUCUGUCUUUUGGGACGAUAAUGACGGUACCAAAGGAGGAAGCCACGGCUAACUACGUGCCAGCAGCCGCGGUAAUACGUAGGUGGCGAGCGUUGUCCGGAUUUACUGGGCGUAAAGGGUGCGUAGGCGGAUGUUUAAGUGAGAUGUGAAAUACCCGGGCUUAACUUGGGUGCUGCAUUUCAAACUGGAUAUCUAGAGUGCAGGAGAGGAGAAUGGAAUUCCUAGUGUAGCGGUGAAAUGCGUAGAGAUUAGGAAGAACACCAGUGGCGAAGGCGAUUCUCUGGACUGUAACUGACGCUGAGGCACGAAAGCGUGGGUAGCAAACAGGAUUAGAUACCCUGGUAGUCCACGCCGUAAACGAUGAGUACUAGGUGUAGGGAGGUAUCGACCCCUUCUGUGCCGCAGUAAACACAUUAAGUACUCCGCCUGGGAAGUACGAUCGCAAGAUUAAAAC